AUACUAUAUAAACCUUCUGAUCAACCAACAACAACCAGGCAACUUUAAAAGAAUACAUAUGCAUAUUUUCAGUCAAUUCAACUAACAAAAACAAAAUCAGCAUUUCAGUCACAAACUUACAGUAGUAUUACUGUCACUUCUAUGUAUUGUAUUCAAGGUGACCAGUACUUUGAUAUUCCCAGGUAGGUCAGCCAUGCAGUCAGGCAAAAGCCUGGAGGUCCAGUUGGCCAGUAAAGACAGGGAAUGGAAGGAUCUACCUUCAGCUGUGAGCCAGUUUAAAAAGGCCCAGGACGAGUGCAACUUCUACAGGCAGGAAGAGCACCAUGUACAGGUGGGGGAUCACAAACACAUGCACAUUAUAGAGAAGGAGAAGGGGAACCGCAAAAGUCAGUACCGUUUACAUCUGAACAAAAUCAUUUGCUGUAUGACUGAUGAAGUACACAAACUAACCAUGGAUUAUGAAAGAGUGAAAUGUGAUUUGCAGAACAAAAUACAUGAAUUGGAAAGACAGCUGAACAUUCAGAGACAGGUUUUAUCCAUUCAACAGAUUUUUUUUAUGCGUUUGAAAAAUAUCAGUUUGCUACUUGCUCAAGAAAUAAAGAAUAAUGCCCUAGGUUAUUGUAUUAUGUAGGUUAUCAUAUUUUAUUAUAUAAUCAAUGUGACAGAUAGCCCAAAUCUAUAUCUACUUUAUCUACUACUCACUACUACACUACAUUUCAAUGGAAUCACAAUAUGCCGGUACUGUGUUUGUAGAAACAAUGAUUGAUUGUCAUGGUAAGGUCAGUAAUUAUGUGGCUAGUGGGGCAUGCCUGACCAUGAAACUGAAGACUAAUUACAUGAAAAUGAACCAAAUAAAUUGCUGUAAUUUGUAAAUGGCAAAUAUCUUUUUAAAAACAAAAAAAACAAAAUUGGAGUAAAACUUCAUUAUUUCUAUUAAUAUAUUUGGUUGAAUCAAGAAUGAUAGACUAAAGAAACUACAGCUCAAUGAACUGCCCUCACAAGCUUGAUGAAACAUGUGCCACUUUAUUCACUGUCUUCACUCUCAUCUGAGCUAUAAUGAACACACAUAUAUUAACAUGAAACCUGAGAUAAACACCUCGUGUGAGGGCUGCCUUUCAUUCAAUAUUCUCAAAAGAACAACCUGAAUCUUCUGCAUCUUACUUAAAUGGGAGUUGCGUUAAAAUUGCAGUUAGAGAGCUUAAAUUGUUUAUUAUUGUCACCACUUUAUUUUGUCAGAAAAAUGUUUUAACUUCAGGUUUCUUUUUAAAAACUAUUUACCUUAACUAUUUGCCAUUAUCCAUAUAAAGGGAAGAUUUUUCUAGUGGUAUUGUAAAAAUAUA
rnacentral:lncRNA from 1 species